rnacentral:rRNA from 1 species
CGAGCGGACAGAUGGGAGCUUGCUCCCUGAUGUUAGCGGCGGACGGGUGAGUAACACGUGGGUAACCUGCCUGUAAGACUGGGAUAACUCCGGGAAACCGGGGCUAAUACCGGAUGGUUGUUUGAACCGCAUGGUUCAAACAUAAAAGGUGGCUUCGGCUACCACUUACAGAUGGACCCGCGGCGCAUUAGCUAGUUGGUGAGGUAACGGCUCACCAAGGCGACGAUGCGUAGCCGACCUGAGAGGGUGAUCGGCCACACUGGGACUGAGACACGGCCCAGACUCCUACGGGAGGCAGCAGUAGGGAAUCUUCCGCAAUGGACGAAAGUCUGACGGAGCAACGCCGCGUGAGUGAUGAAGGUUUUCGGAUCGUAAAGCUCUGUUGUUAGGGAAGAACAAGUACCGUUCGAAUAGGGCGGUACCUUGACGGUACCUAACCAGAAAGCCACGGCUAACUACGUGCCAGCAGCCGCGGUAAUACGUAGGUGGCAAGCGUUGUCCGGAAUUAUUGGGCGUAAAGGGCUCGCAGGCGGUUUCUUAAGUCUGAUGUGAAAGCCCCCGGCUCAACCGGGGAGGGUCAUUGGAAACUGGGGAACUUGAGUGCAGAAGAGGAGAGUGGAAUUCCACGUGUAGCGGUGAAAUGCGUAGAGAUGUGGAGGAACACCAGUGGCGAAGGCGACUCUCUGGUCUGUAACUGACGCUGAGGAGCGAAAAGCGUGGGGAGCGAACAGGAUUAGAUACCCUGGUAGUCCACGCCGUUAACGAUGAGUGCUAAGUGUUAGGGGGUUUCCGCCCCUUUAGUGCUGCAGCUAACGCAUUAAGCACUCCGCCUGGGGAGUACGGUCGCAAGACUGAUAACUCAAGGAAUUGACGGGGGCCCGCACAAGCGG